ACUGUCAGCCACAGAACUGAUUUUUCCAGGGUUUCCUAGACUUCUUGGAAGGAAAAUCUUGACAGAAUUUAGAAAACAUUUUCAGCCACCCCUCUGACCCGUUUCUUGCAGGUAGGUUAUAAAAGGUCUCCGUGUGUGUGAGGUGAUUUCUGCAUGACAGCAGUGCUGGCCACCUUAUGCUGGUUUUCAAUGCUCCAAUCAUGAGAAAGCUGUGACCAGCUGAGCAGCUGGUUUUCACUGGAAGGCCUCCUCGUCCACAAAGUGGUUUCUUUCAGUCCAGACCAACGUCUUCCCACUUUGGGUGUUUGAACUGAAAAAAGACAGAAGGCCACUGAGAAGGUAUCUCCUAUUCCUGCCAAGUUACGGAAUGGAGAUGGGAAGACGAAUCUCACCUCCAAGGUAGAGAACACCAAGGCUUCCUCCUGCUCCUCCAGGGACAUGUGGAGACCUGCGCAGACCCUGUACUUCCCAGAACUUGGACCUCAGUUCAGUUCAACAGUUUCUACCAAAUGCCUGGGGCAGAGCUUGAAACUAAAGGGACCAGGGGCCUCCUGACCUGACCUAACUGAAGUGACCCCUAGCUACAUUCAAUGCCGAAUGUGGCAGUGCCAGUCCUCACAGCUGCCCUCCUUCGGGGCCCCAUCUGCUAAUUCACUGCUAUCUACUGCCAGAAAGGAGUUCCAGGGAGAGGGUGCUGCUAAGAGACUGGGAUUCUUUUCCUGGAGCAGAGGACAAGCCUUAAGAUUACUAUCUUUGUCCUAUAGAAGAUACUGGUCUGUUGGCGGCAUUUGCAAGGGGAACAAGGAAUGCUUCCUCUUCAAAGGAAUCAAAAGAGCUGGGUGAGGAGAAAGGAUUCAGUUUUGGAGUUCACCUUAUUUGGAUGAGGAGAGGAGAAAAGAGAGGCAUCUUUAACCUCUGAGGCCUGGCAUGAGGUGACAGACAGAAGCUAAAGAUACUGGAUUGACUUUUGGAAUUCAGAGCACGGUCUCCAACUUUGACAGAGAAGAACAGAUAGGGGAAGGCAGAAGAUGUGAGAAGCCCCACUGCAGGGAGGCCACGAGAGUUCCAUAUGCCAGUCCAGCUUUUAUUCCUGCCUAACUCAAAGCGGUAGAAAAGGCUUAUUCGGGCCUAGGGGAAAACUCCAAAAAAGCAUCACACUCCCCAAACCCAUUUUCCCGUCCUGGAUCAGGAAACUGAAUAUUCCUCUGUUCACCUUUGGUGAAAGGGAAGGGAUCACCUCAGGGGCAGGGCCCGGGCCCAGCUGGCAGCCCUAGGCUUUAUGUAGUGAUGCCAGUAGUAAUUAAUAAUGAUAAUAAAUACCAUACUUCAUAACCGAACCCAACCUGAGGAUGACUGAACGAUUGGACCUCUGCCUCCCACCUGCACGCUGUUAGUCUGCGAGUCCACACCCUCCUAUUAUCUUGGGUCGAAUCCAGCUUCCAGGUUCCAGCCACCAUAUUCAACGGGUUCAAAAGAAGGUCUGCUCCUCACAGCCGCGGAUGAGAA